rnacentral:misc_RNA from 1 species
GGAUGAAGAACGUAGCGAAAUGCGAUACGUAGUGUGAAUUGCAGAAUUCCGUGAAUCAUCGAAUCUUUGAACGCAUAUUGCGCUCGAGACCUCGGUCGAGAGCAUGCCUGUCUCAGCGUCGGCUCACCCCUCGCCCACCCUUUCCCCUGGGAAAGGUGCCUGGACGGACGUGGCCGUCUCGCUCCCCCCGAGGGAGCGGGUCGGCUGAAGUGCAGGGCCCGCGGCGCGACCCGGACGAGAGGGCGCCAGCAUGGUAGGUGGCUGAACGCUGCAUGCCGCUGUCGCCUUGCAUCUCGGCCCGAACAAGGUCGCAUCAAUCGUCCGCUCGGCCACCAAGCAGGAACAGUCGCCCGGCCGCAGCAAUGCGGCAGGCGACUCAACCCUUCGACCUGAGAUCAGACAAGACCACCCGCUGAACUUAAGCAUAUCAAUAAGCGGAGGA